rnacentral:tRNA from 1 species
ACCCUCUACUUGGCAGA